AAAGAUUCGAACCUGCAGCAGGUUUGAGUUGAGCGCAGCGAAACAACGGAGCCGCUCGCGGCGACGGCCCGAAGGGCGAGCGAAGCGAGUCAUCCUGCACGACCCACCA
rnacentral:sRNA from 3 species